AGUGAACGCUGGCGGUAGGCCUAACACAUGCAAGUCGAACGGCAGCACAGUAAGAGCUUGCUCUUACGGGUGGCGAGUGGCGGACGGGUGAGGAAUACAUCGGAAUCUACUUUUUCGUGGGGGAUAACGUAGGGAAACUUACGCUAAUACCGCAUACGACCUACGGGUGAAAGCAGGGGGUCUUCGGACCUUGCGCGAUUGAAUGAGCCGAUGUCGGAUUAGCUAGUUGGCGGGGUAAAGGCCCACCAAGGCGACGAUCCGUAGCUGGUCUGAGAGGAUGAUCGGCCACACUGGAGCUGAGACACGGUCAAGACUCCUACGGGAGGCAGCAGUGGGGAAUAUUGGACAAUGGGCGCAAACCUGAUCCAGCCGUACCGCGUGGGUGAAGAAGGCCUUCGGGUUGUAAAGCCCUUUUGUUGGGAAAGAAAAGCAGCAGGUUAAUACCCCGCUGUUCUGACGGUACCCAAAGAAUAAGCACCGGCUAACUUCGUG
rnacentral:rRNA from 1 species